CCUACGGGUGGCAGCAGUGGGGAAUAUUGGGCAAUGGGCGCAAGCCUGACCCAGCAAAGCCGCGUGAAGGAAGAAGGCUCUCGGGUUGUAAACUUCUUUUGUCAGGGACGAAGCAAGUGACGGUACCUGACGAAUAAGCCACGGCUAACUAAGUGCCAGCAGUCGCGGUAAUCCGUCGGUGGCAAGCGUUCACCGGAUUUACUGGGUGUAAAGGGCGAGUAGGCGGGGUAGCAAGUCAGAUGUGAAAACCACGGGCUCAACCUGUGGCCUGCCUUUGAAACUGUUUUUCUUGAGUGCUGGAGAGGCAAUCGGAAUUCCGUGUGUAGCGGUGAAAUGCGGAGAUAUACGGAGGAACACCAGUGGCGAAGGCGGAUUGCUGGACAGUAACUGACGCUGAGGCGCGAAAGCGUGGGGAGCAAACAGGAUUAGAUACCCCUGUAGUC
rnacentral:rRNA from 1 species